rnacentral:rRNA from 1 species
GCCCAAUCCUGUCUGAUCUUGGAAGCUAAGCAGGGUCGGGCCUGGUUAGUACUUGGAUGGGAGACUACCUAGGAAGACCAGGUGCUGUAGGCA